rnacentral:lncRNA from 15 species
AGAGAUUCGGGCUUCUUUUCAUCCGCACCGUUGUCAUUCAUUUCGGUAACGUUUUCCCCCCUUUAAGUCUCUGACCUAAAGUUAAUCACCCAUAGCUAGAGAAGGAUCUUGUGGGAUUUGGUCAUGUGUAGUAAAGAAUUUGAGUGAAUUGUUAGAAAAAAAAAUUUUAAAGUCAAAGUCUAGCAAACGUGAUAUUUUAAAAUAAAACCGGUUGAUUAAAGAAAUGUGCUUUUGUGAUGAUAGGCCACAAAUGGGAAACAUCCAAGCAGAGGUGGGGCUCGAGUUCAACAACACGGCAUCACCCGAUCGAAUCCCACAGGCCGAUGUUGUUGCAGAAACCUUGAGAGUCGCUGUGAAUAACGCAAGCAACACCUUCAACCUCAGUAUCGAUCCAGCCUCCAUCGAAGUCAUUCGAUCAACAACAACUACAAGGCCAAGGACAACUGGAAUCACUGCAGCUCCUUCACCAGUUGUGCUUCUCACAGCAACCUUGCAAGAACCAUUUGUAGAAGAACUCAACAAUCGCAGCAGCGCGGAAUACAGAAAUCUUGAAAGACAAGUUGUAGCAAUCUGCGACUUCAUCUUCAAUGAGAGAUUCGGGCUUCUUUUCAUCCGCACCUUUGUCAUUCAAUUUCGGUAACGUUUCCCCCUUUAAUUUCAAUUCAAUUCAAUUUUAUUUGUAUAGCGCCAAUUCAUAACAGAAGUUAUCUCAGGACACUUUUCAAAUAGAGCAGGUCUAGACCGAACUCUUUAACAUUAAUUACAGAGACCCAACAGUACCACCAUGAGCAAGCACUUGGCGACAAGGGCAAGGAAAAACUGCCUGUUAAAAGGCAGAAACCUAGGACAGAUCCUCCGGCUCUAGGUGGGUGGUCGUCUGUCUCGACCAGUUGGGGUGAGAGAGAGAGAGAGAGAGAGAGAGAGGCAGAGAGAGAGAGCGAGAGACAGACAGACAGACAGGUGCACAGCAACAACACUCUAAGUCUCUGACCUAAAGUUAAUCAACUCAUAACUAGAGAAGGAUCUUGUGGGAAUUGGUCAUGUGUAAUAAAGAAUUUGAGUGAAUUGU